rnacentral:tRNA from 1 species
GCCUGGGUGGCUCAGUCGGUUAAGCGCCCGACUUCGGCUCGGGUCACGAUCUCACGGUCCGUGAGUUCGAGCCCCGCGUCGGGCU